AUCCAGCUGACGAGUCCCAAAUAAAACGAAACGCGUGUCCUGGAU
rfam:Schistosoma mattheei strain Denwood, Zambia genome assembly, scaffold: SMTD_scaffold0003569